AGGUGGCUUUCUCAGCCUCUUUGCUGGCUUCAGGCGCGUCGACUACUGGACCAUUCAGCGGUUUUACACCUCUGAUCUACAAACAUGUCGUCACAAAUGUUGGGAAUGCCUACAACUCAGACACAGGUUUUUUCACUGCACCAGUGAAAGGCGCCUACCACUUUGAAUUUUACUGCACGGCUGUAGGAGGACACACAGCUGUUGUGUUGGUGAAAAAUGGAGGCAGAACUUUUGCUUUUGCUGAGGGUCAGUACAAUGAUUUUGGGACUGGUUCCAGUGGAAUAACCCUAGUCUUAGAGGUUGGAGAUGUUGUUAGCAUAAAUCUGUGGCCAACCAGUGUAAUGUUCGACAAUCAAAAUCACCACAGCACCUUCAGUGGUCAUCUCCUUUUCACAAUGUGAGGGGAAAAGAUGUGUUUUUUUACUUCUGUAAUACUUUUAGCAGCUUUCCUUUGAUUAAACAGUUGACAUUAGAGAGAAGAG